rnacentral:rRNA from 1 species
AUUGAACGCUGGCGGCAUGCCUUACACAUGCAAGUCGAACGGCAGCACGGGUGCUUGCACCUGGUGGCGAGUGGCGAACGGGUGAGUAAUACAUCGGAACGUACCUUAUCGUGGGGGAUAACGCAGCGAAAGCUGUGCUAAUACCGCAUACGCCCUGAGGGGGAAAGCGGGGGAUCGCAAGACCUCGCGCGAUUAGAGCGGCCGAUGCCUGAUUAGCUUGUUGGGGGGGUAAAAGCCCACCAAGGCGACGAUCAGUAGCUGGUCUGAGAGGACGAUCAGCCACACUGGGACUGGGACACGGCCCAGACUCCUACGGGAGGCAGCAGUGGGGAAUUUUGGACAAUGGGGGCAACCCUGAUCCAGCAAUGCCGCGUGAGUGAAGAAGGCCUUCGGGUUGUAAAGCUCUUUUGUCAGGGAAGAAACACCGGCUCUAACACAGUCCGGGAAUGACGGUACCUGAAGAAUAAGCACCGGCUAACUACGUGCCAGCCGCCGCGGUAA